rnacentral:sRNA from 1 species
AGUUGAACAUCGACUAAAGACCGCCACGUCCUAUGGCGAACGUCGAUGUCAGAACCUCCUGU